rnacentral:lncRNA from 10 species
CAUGGGUGUAUCCAUAAAAGCAACUGAAUUUUUAGUCUUCUGCUGUUAAUAAUCUGUUCCAUGAGGAUAGUUCUUCCUCUUCCACAGAAUGAAACUCAGGCAGUCCUAUAACUUUUUUAUUCUCUCAGGUAAUAGAAAAUCCUGUUACUUUAAGAGGAAAAACCCUGCUCUUAAUUCAGUAAUUCAAAUCUUGUCCCCUUCCCCAACAGGGUCUCCUAUGGACAGAAGUGCGGGCAAGGAGCUUUGUUCCUCCCCGAUGUCACCCUCCCACAGCCCACUUGCUAGCAGGCAAGAGAGGGGUGGAGGCCGGCAGUAAGGCAUGUACUGAACUGGACCUCUGGUGGAAUGGGUCACCCACGCUGGGCUUGAUUCCACAUAUGGUAUCUGAGACUCACACAGUGUGGUUGGAAGAUAGCACAGUGACCUCCCAGGCACAGCCCUCUGCCAGCCCUCCACUGGCUGCCCUAGGAUGCUGGCCUUCCUCCGAUGGGAGUCGGGCCCAGUCUGCUGUGAGCCAGGAGAAGCCAGCAAGCUCCCUGCGAGGCCUGGAGGAGCCCUUCUCACUCAGCUUGGUGUUCGAUGCCAGUGCCCCCGCCCAUUGUGGGGUGAGGGUGGGACUCUCAGCACAGCCCUGUCCAAAUAAAUCCUCUAAAGCCCUCUUCCAUCUGCAGUCACUUGAGUCUUUUGUAGCCUGUGUGAUUGAGCAUCUAAGCAGUCCUCAGCUAUUUACUUUGAAAUUUCGUAAGUGAUUUUGGUAUCUGUCAUUUCUUGAUGCAUCAGUCACAACUCCCCAUCUAACAUCCCAUUAAAUAAUAUAUAAAACAGAACAAAAACAUUGUGCCAACUUCUUCUAAGAAGAAUUUAAUGUCACUUCCUAAGUUAAGCAGUUGGGCCCUGUCCCAUGACUGUUCAUCUCUGCUCAAUAGUCAUCAAGAGCUGAGAAAGAAGAAAGGAGCCCUGGGGGCCUAAGCUGUGUGUGUGUGUGUGUGUGUGUGUGUGUGUGUGUGAUUAUGAGAAACACUCUCCAUUCUGUUUUUCAUUAAUAUCUAAAGGGAAAUUCUAUUAAAUCAAUUCCAAGACCAAAAAUUGUGGACAUUUGUGUGUUUUUUAAAGACACUAAAAACAAGUGGAAUGUACAGAUAGACUAUAUUAUUUCCCAACUUUUUGAUAUAUAGUACAAAUUGUUCCUGAAUUAAAAGUCUAAUGAUUGAUACAUUUUUUGUAUUAUCUUACCUGCUAGGGAAAAAAAAAUUGCCAUGAUGCGAAAAAGAUGCAACAGGCACCGUGGGGUAUAGCGUGUAGCAGUCUUCUGUCCAUGAAAUACUGUGGUUUAUAUGCAGGAUUAGCCAAGUGGUAGAAACCUCGGUCCAGCCAGUCUGGAGACUAGUAAACCAAAAAGAGACUUUUCUGCUUCUAACGGACAUAGGCAAGUGGUAAUUUCUCACCAAAUUAAAAAUAACACUGGUCUUUGAUUAGCUAGAGAGAUCUUCUUAAAAUGCUUAUCUGAUUGUGUCCCCCUCCCUCAGCUCAAAAAUCUGUAAAGCUUUUCCAUUACUUUUUGGAUUAACAAAAAUGAGGUCCACAAAGCCCAGAGAGUGUUGUCCCUACCUUUCUCUCUAGCCGAUUUCCUGUCUCCCUCCUCCUGUACUGCCUCCCCCACCUUGUGAUCCAGGCCAUAUGGAUUCAAUGCCUCCUCCAUUCUCCCUUCUCUCUCUCCUUUGUUCAGUCAGCUUUUCAGAUUUUGGUUCAGAUGUCACUUCCUUGGCCCUCCCCUCCCAGGCCAGAUCAAGUCUCCCUAUUCUAGACUACUAAACUUUUUGAACAUUUAAGUGUUUCUAUUUAUAUAUUUAUAUAAUUUAUUAUUAUCUAUAUUAGGGCCCUGAAAAGAAACAAAUCAACUCAGAGGGUUCAACUAAGAGAACUUAAUGAAGAAACAAAAACCAGAGGUGCUGCGGCACUCAGGAACUAGCAAGAGCAGGAAACCUUUAUGAAUCCUUGGUUCAAAGGGGUAGAAGGGAGCACCACCUCGAUUCCCCACCCCAGGAAUGGAGUACUCAUCUACUAGCAGUUCGAAGUGCCAGGACCAACAGGUCUCAACUAAAUUUUUCUCUGGGACCUGUCCUUGCCUAAGGGGAACUUCCUCACCCAAAAGCAUGCCCCCUUUCCCUGGGGCAGCCUCAUGCAAUGACUGGUCUGUGCAGAGGUGUGAAGAUCCAGUUCACAUGCCCCAAAUUGGGACAACUAACUACAGGGCCAUCCUAGCCCACUCUGCCCAAUCCUGAUCCUCUCACUCCCCCACCCCAAGUGGUCAUCCCAUGAACACUCCCCAGCUAACUUCCUGUGGGCACAGUAUCAGGGGCUGCUUCGCACAGAACCUACCUAGAGAAAGGCCAAGGUAAAGAAAGUGUCACCCAAGCCCUAUAAGAGCUUCCACUUUGGGCAAGCAGUGAGUAGGGAAAACAGAUCUCCGCCUCUCCCACUUCUCUAUUUCCUGCCUGGACCUUCUAUUGGUGGAAGCCAUUGGGUGACAUAACCCACAGGAAUCAGCCUUCUGGGGUAAAACACAGCAGAAGAUAGAUAAUAGUGGGGAGAAGAGGGCAGAGACAAAAUUUCCCCUUAGUAAUCUGGUAGUACAUACAGUGGCAAAAGAAGCCCCAAAUAACUAAGAGUCUUAGCUUCCAAUUUAAUAGAACUAUGGCUAUUGAUAUAGUUUGGAUGUGUGUCCCUGCCCAAAUCUCUUGUUGACAUGUAAUCCCCAAUGUUGGAGGUUGGACUUGGUGGGAAGUGAUUGGAUCAUGAGGGCAGAUAUCUCAUGAAUAGUUCAGUAUCAUUCCUUUGGUACUAUCCUGACAACAGUGAGUGAAUUCUCACAAGAUCUGGUUGUUUAAACGUGUGUGGCACCUCGCGCCCUAACUCUUGCUCCUGCUCUGGCCUUGUGAUGUGCCUGCUGCUCCCUUCACCUUCCACCAUGAUUGUAAGCUUCCUGGGGCCUCCCCAGGAGCUGAGCCCAGCAUCAUGCUUCCUAUACAACUUGCAGAACCAUGAGCCAGUUAAACCUCUUUCUUUAUAAAUUAUCUAGCCUCAGGUAUUUACAGCCAUAUGAGAACAUCCUAACAGCUAUGUUCUCUAGUAGAAGGCUCCUUCCUUCUUUGUUAACAAGGACUUCCAAUCAAAAGCCAGCUGGCAAGGAAACCUGAGGAAUGCUGCAUAACUGAGCCUUUUCAGACAUGAAGUAUGGAGGAAGAGGAGGAAGACAGCAUGUAUUAGAAAGCAACAGAGACAACUCGC